ACGGAGGAUGCGAGCGUUAUCCGGAUUUAUUGGGUUUAAAGGGUGCGUAGGCGGAUUAAUAAGUCAGUGGUGAAAUACUGCAGCUUAACUGUAGAAUUGCCGUUGAUACUGUUAGUCUUGAGUAUGGUCAAGGUAGGCGGAAUGUGUAAUGUAGCGGUGAAAUGCUUAGAUAUGACACAGAACACCGAUUGCGAAGGCAGCUUACUGGGCCAUUACUGACGCUCAUGCACGAAAGCGUGGGGAUCAAACAG
rnacentral:rRNA from 1 species